rnacentral:lncRNA from 1 species
AAAAUAAUGAGUGCUUUUGUGCAUAUGCCUGUGUGUGUGUGUAAAUGAAAAGAGGGACAGCAAAGCCAGAGAAUGGAUCCAAUUUAUGAAAUACAUCAGUCAAGUAUGUAAGUUGGAAAGUGGUGGUAUAAUCACAGAGGAAUGCUCAAGCUGCUGUGACUGUGAGCACACUAACUGUCCCUCUCUCACACACGCACGCACACAUAGAUCAGUAAAUCAACACGUCCUCUUCCACCUCAUUGGCUUUUGCAGCUGCUCGUCACUUUAAAAAUAUGGCUGGAGAGGAAACACAAAGCAGAUGAGUUACAUUAGAACCUCUCCUUUCAGUCCUCUGAGGGAUUUCACUUGGAGGUGUAAUUGUGCUUGGACACUGAUGAGCUCAACUACCUGCUCUUCUUACCUUCAGCAAUAUUAAGAAACUGAUUCCAGGUCAGCAGUGCGUCAGCGGGCGUGGCUUAAGCGAUCCGCUUUCAUUCCUCAGCCCUCUGUGUUUUCCAGAGGUGUCCUCUGGUUGGUCGGUUUGAAUAUUUGAGCUCGAGGUGCGGAGCCCGCAAACAGGGAUGAACAACAGCGCGGAGACAUCCUGCAAACAGUGUCUAAGAGCACGCCUGACCUCGUGAGGUGAGCUGAUUUAGACUUAAAGACAACAGUCUCCGCAUGGCAGGUGCAUCCUGUGUGAGGAGAGGAGAUGAGCAUUACAAAGCCAGGCCAUGUCUCUGGCACAGAGUCUGAUGCAUCUGAUAAGGACCUGCAGGAACACUUCGGUUACCAACAGAGCAGGUCAAGCGACACCCAGAUGUCAAGCCACCCUGUCCAUCAGGCAGCGAAUCCUGAAGCGAUCAUGUCAGGCUGUCAUGCAAGCCUGAGAGGGGCUCAACGAUUGCAUGACAGCCCUGAUGGCACUGAUGUGUAUCCCCCCCCCUCUUGGGUAGAAUUUGAGAAGGCCUGCUUUCCUCCGCUUCAUGAAAUCCAUCUUGAUAGAAGACCGCAGGGAGACCUUGUGGGUGCAGCACAGUGCCAGAAAGAAGUCAGCAAGCAAGUGGAUUACAUUCAUAAACAGCAGGCUUUGUUAGUGAAAAGGGCAUUACCUCAACUUCUGAGGUGCUUUUUGUUUCUUUUAAUUGAACUUCAGGAAUUUUUUAUGCUUUUGCAUGACCAUUUAAAUUACAAUUCUUACUUCUUCUGA